AUUGAACGCUGGCGGCAGGCCUAACACAUGCAAGUCGAGCGGAGCGGCGGACGGGUGAGUAAUGACUAGGAAUCUGCCUGGUCGUGGGGGAUAACGUCCGGAAACGGGCGCUAAUACCGCAUAUUAUCAGAGCGGCCUAGGUGGGAUUAGCUAGUUGGUGGGGUAAAGGCUUACCAAGGCGACGAUCCGUAACUGGUCUGAGAGGAUGAUCAGUCACACUGGAACUGAGAAACGGUCCAGACUCCUACGGGAGGCAGCAGUGGGGAAUAUUGGACAAUGGGCGAAAGCCUGAUCGAGACAUGCCGCGUGUGUGAAGAAGGUCUUCGGAUUGUAAAGCACUUUUAGUUGGGAGGCGUUACCAACAGAAUAAGCACCGGCUAACUUCGUGCCAGCAGCCGCGGGAAUAC
rnacentral:rRNA from 1 species